CAUGUCAUUUGUUGUAUUUCGUUUUGUAUAUUAAAUCCUAUGAAAACAUUAUAGAGGGUUCUAUACUAUGUUGGACAAAAUUUAAUGAUGCGCAUGGUUCGAUGGAUGAAGACUUACGUCAUCAAAUUGCUUCAACCUCGUGUGAAAUUUAAUGUGAUAAAGUAGAUAUGAGCUGGGGUCUUGUGCGUAAGAGUAUGUGCGACGAGUCCAUCGUUGUAUUGAUUGUGAUAUAUGCUUCAUUAAGCAUAAUAUUAAGUGUUAAAACUUCAAUUGUGUAUAUACUUAGUGAUGCAAAUUCAAGAAUUAAGUGUCCAGGCAUGUCAUCAUUGAAGUGCUGCUGGAUAUUAUGCUUAUUUGUAUUUACGGGCAUUAACAGAAUUACUAAGACUAUUUCAUUAUUUCCUUCGUAGAAGACUGGAUAGUGUCUACAACAAUUGCACAUCAAUGCGGCCCAAAAAUUAGUCAAUUCGAGGUGGAUUUCACUCGUUCUCAAGGAGCACACCAUUCAAAAAUCAAUGUUUUUCCAGGAUGUUAGGAAUUUCUCAUCGCACAAGGAAAUAUGUGAGGAGAAUCACUAUUUUCUACCAUACAUCUAGCAUUUUUAUAUUUCGGUAGAUUCUAUAUUGUUGGGUACAACCAUGGGUACAGCUUGCAGAGGUAAAAAUCCCAAGCACCCCUCAUGCAAAGAGAAGGGUUUUGCACUCAGAUAUUCUUCAGGAAUUGCUCAUCGCACAAGGAAAUAUGUGAGGAGAAUCACUAUUUUCUGCCAUAUAUCUAGCAUUUUUCUAUUUCGGUAGAUUCUAUAUUGUUGGGUACAACCAUGGUACGGCUUGCAGAGGUAAAAAAUCCCAAGCACCCCUCAUGCAAAGAGAAGGGGAAUCUCCUUUUUAGUUGUAUUGUAUACCUUCUCUACUUAUUUAUAUUGCAAUAAUAAUAUCCCUAUAAGUAUUCGGAAUAAGAGCAAUUUUUUAUGAUUAUCUAGAAUUUUUAUUACUGAUGUUUGUUUAUUGGACCAUGUGUAUGUAUUCAGUCAUUCACAAAUAUACAUGUGAUGUCAACUCAGCCACAGCUAUUAUUCAUGUUAGCUUUUUCUGAAUGUUGUUAUUCAUGUUAGCUUUGGAACUUCAUGUUUUGCACUCAGAUAUUCUUCAAGGUAGUUCCUUGGCAUCAUUAUGUUUUGCUGAUCCAAAAUUUACUAUUCUCCAUACUUUCAUGUUUCAUGUUGUUUCCAAUAUGGAAAUCUAGAAUUUUUACAUCAUGACAUUGUGCAAAAUGAUUCACUUGCAUGACAAAUCACCUCUCAUAUUUGGCGAGUUGUUUCUGAAAUCUGGAAUCAUUAAGCGUCCUUUUAGUCUUGUCCAUAUAAAUUGCCAAAUGAUGCCAGCUCUGUUCGAGUGGUUUAAAUUCUGAAGACUGAACUUUGUUUGCACCAUGUGUACAAAUCUCGAUUUCACUAAAAUGGGCUCCAUGUGAAUCUAAAUAAAAUGCUAAACUAAAACAAUAGGCUAAUUGAACUUGUGAUUUUGGAAAUCUUUUGGCCGAAGAAGCUUAUGAAACAGCGUACUGUAAACUGGUUGGUUAUUGAGAGGCCCUUUAUAUGUUUCUGUCCCAGGAGCAUGAUAGAGGUGAUUAUGUGGUAUUUGUGUUGUUGUUUACACUAACUAGAUGCAAGUGAUGUGUGUUAGUCUGCUUUUCAGUUUCUUCCCCACCUUUAUGUUGAAGGUAUUGUUGAUUAGUUGGCGAGGUUCAUGGAUAAGCUGUACUUCUGUCACAUUUGCGGUCUAUCAGUAUGUGCCUUUUCCA